UCACUUCAACUCGCCUUCAGUGGAUGAUUCAUUACAACGGCACACAUUUGCCCAGCUUAUAGCUAAAAGUCUCUAUCCUCUCCUCUCCCUAUCUGUCUAUCUCCGUCACCCUCCCUCUUUGUCUUUUUCCCCCCAUUCCUGUACCUCUGAGAAAGGACGAAGAGCAGGAGGACUUUGAAGAACCAGAAGGAGCCGAGAGACCAGUUCUUCCCCUUCAGGAGAGCCCAAGAGUGGAAUCUGGAUCUGGUAUGAGACAAAACAGAAGAGAAGCUGAGUUGAUGUGCUGUGAGAGAACGCCCCCUUGUUUGUGAGGGAAGAACAGCAGCGGCUAGUUCACCGUUGGAGAGGGAGUUGGUUGUGGUUCAGCACACUCUGCCAGCAGUUCAA
rnacentral:lncRNA from 1 species